UACGUAGGGUGCAAGCGUUGUCCGGAAUUAUUGGGCGUAAAGAGCUCGUAGGCGGUCUGUCGCGUCGGCUGUGAAAACUCGGGGCUCAACCCCCGAGCCUGCAGUCGAUACGGGCAGACUAGAGUGCGGUAGGGGAGACUGGAAUUCCUGGUGUAGCGGUGAAAUGCGCAGAUAUCAGGAGGAACACCGGUGGCGAAGGCGGGUCUCUGGGCCGGUACCGACGCUGAGGAGCGAAAGCGUGGGGAGCGAACAGG
rnacentral:rRNA from 1 species